rnacentral:rRNA from 1 species
AGAGUUUGAUCCUGGCUCAGGAUGAAUGCUGGCGGCGUGCCUAACACAUGCAAGUCGAACGAUACAGUGGCAAACGGGUGCAUAACACGUAGGAAUUUACCCUCGUCUCGAGAAUAGCUCCGCGAAAGUGGAGGUAAUACUCGAUGGUAUACGGUUAAAUUUAUUUAAUCCGUAUUAAAGAUUUAUCGGACGUGGAGAAGCCUGCGGCCUAUCAGCUAGUUGGUGGGGUAAUAGCCUACCAAGGCAACGACGGGUAGCUGAUCCGAGAGGAUGAUCAGCCACAGGGGAACUGAGAUACGGUCCCCACUCCUACGGGAGGCAGCAGUUGGGAAUAUUGCACAAUGGGCGAAAGCCUGAUGCAGCGACGCCGCGUGAAGGAAGAAGCUUUUCGGAGUGUAAACUUCUUUUGUCUGGGAUGAUUAUGACAGUACCAGACGAAUAAGUACCGGCUAACUACGUGCCAGAAGCCUCGGUGAUACGUAGGGUACAAGCAUUAUCCGGAAUUAUUGGCAGUAAAGCGUGUCUAGGUGGUUAUAAAAGUUUUUUGUUAAAUCUCUGGGCUCAACCCAGAAAUCGCAGAAAAUACUCUAUGACUAGAGACCAAUAGAGGUGUAUGGAACUCUCGGUGUAGGAGUGAAAUCCGUUGAUAUCGAGAGGAACACCAAAGGCGAAGGCAAUACACUAGAUUGGUUCUGACACUCAAGCACGAAAGCGUGGGUAGCGAAAAGGAUUAGAUACCCUUGUAGUCCACGCCGUAAACGAUGCAGACUAAUUGCUGGGAGUAUUGACCCUCCUCGCAGUGAAGCUAACGCGUUAAGUCUGCCGCCUGGGAAGUACGGUCGCAAGACUAAAACUCAAAGGAAUUGACGGGGGCUUGCACAAGCGGUGGAGCAUGUGGUUUAAUUCGACGAUAAGCGAAGAACCUUACCAGGACUUGACAUCCCAAUCGUAUCCUGUAGAAAUACAGGAGUCAGUUCGGCUGGAUUGGUGACAGGUGCUGCACGGUUGUCGUCAGCUCGUGUCGUGAGAUGUUCCGUUAAGUCGGCUAACGAGCGAAACCCCUAUUGCCAGUUGUAUUUCUCUGGCGAGACUGCCCCGGUUAACGGGGAGGAAGGUGGGGAUGACGUCAAGUCCUCAUGGCCUUUAUGACCAGGGCUACACACGUACUACAAUGGCCGGUACAACGGGCAGCCACUUGGCGAUAAGGAGCCAAUCCCGUAAAGCCGGUCUCAGUCCGGAUUGGAGUCUGCAACUCGACUCCAUGAAGUUGGAAUCGCUAGUAAUCGCAGAUCAGCACGCUGCGGUGAAUACGUUCCCGGGCCUUGUACACACCGCCCGUCACACCACGGGAGUUGAUUGUACCAGAAGUAGUUGAGCUAACCGCAAGGGGGCAGGCUACCAAGGUAUGGUUGGUAACUGGGGUGAAGUCGUAACAAGGUAGCC